UACAGAGGUCUCAAGCGUUGUUCGGAUUCAUUGGGCGUAAAGGGUGCGUAGGCGGCGCGGUAAGUCGGGUGUGAAAUCUCGGGAGCUUAACUCCGAAACUGCAUUCGAUACUGCCGUGCUUGAGGACUGGAGAGGAGACUGGAAUUUACGGUGUAGCGGUGAAAUGCGUAGAUAUCGUAAGGAAGACCAGUGGCGAAGGCGGGUCUCUGGACAGUUCCUGACGCUGAGGCACGAAGGUCAGGGGGAGCAAAACGG
rnacentral:rRNA from 1 species